rnacentral:rRNA from 1 species
AGAGUUUGAUCCUGGCUCAGGAUGAAUGCUGGCGGCGUGCCUAACACAUGCAAGUCGAGCGGUAACAGGAGUAGUUUACUACUUGCUGACGAGCGGCGGACGGCUGAGUAACGCGUGGGAACGUGCCCCAAAGUGAGGAAUAACUGCCCGAAAGGGUAGCUAAUGCCGCAUAUGAUCUUCGGAUUAAAGGAUUUAUCCGCUUUGGGAGCGGCCUGCGUUAGAUUAGGUAGUUGGUGAGGUAAUGGCUCACCAAGCCUACGAUCUAUAGCUGGUCUGAGAGGAUGAUCAGCCAGACUGGAACUGAGACACGGUCCAGACUCCUACGGGAGGCAGCAGUGAGGAAUCUUCCACAAUGGGCGAAAGCCUGAUGGAGCAACGCCGCGUGCAGGAUGAAGGCCCUAGGGUCGUAAACUGCUUUUAUAAGUGAAGAAUAUGACGGUAACUUAUGAAUAAGCACCGGCUAACUACGUGCCAGCAGCCGCGGUAAU